rnacentral:lncRNA from 1 species
CUGUACUCCAUGUUGUGGACGAACUGUAAUAAGAUGUAAGGGCGAGUGGACAUAACCCGGGGAAAGGGUGAAGGCGUAACGUUGUAGAAUCAUCGACAAAGCAAUCUUCACUUCUGUAGUCGCAAAGUUUAAGCCCACACAAAUUCGAGGUCCCAUUGAAAAGGGUAUGAAUGCGCCUACAUGAUUGUUGGUUGCUUUGGCAACCCCUUCCGAGAAUCUCUCUGGUUUGAAAAGUUGCACAUCUUGUCCCCAGAUUUGAGGAUCAUGGUGAAGUGCUACGAUUGAGACAUCGAAUUCAAGAUUACUAGGAACAAUCAGUUUUCCUAGUCUAACUUCCCUUUCGACUCUCCUUUGAACUUGAACGGCAGGGGGAUAUAACCUUAGAGUCUCAUUGAUGAUCAUACUCAUCUGCAUCAAAAAGAAAAAUGGAUAACCAAAUCAGGAUCUCGAACUUUAUUGAGAACAUAUUUCUGCCACCUAGACAAGUUUCUUACUGUUGUCAGUUUGCCAAUGCCAUCAAGAUUUGGAGUUUGCUUGCCAAAUAAUUGUAGCACCUCCUUUCUUGCUUCCUCUUGCCAAUCCGUAUGGAGUGCCAGAAGAAAAACAGUCCAACAAAGCAAAGUAUUAGCGGUUUCUUGUCCGGCAAAGUAAAACGUCUUGCACUCAUCAAUUAUCUCCUGCACCGAAAUCCUCUGGUUCUCAUUGGCUUCAUGAUUAGCCUUCAGAAGUAAUCCAAGAAAAUCACUCCCAAAGCUGCCGUUUUCUCCAGUCAUUGUCUUCUUUUCUCUUUUCUUAACCAUCUCUAUUAUGGAGGCAUGGAUUCCUUUCUCAAGUUUUUCCGAUUCGAUCUCAUCGCUGGUUUUGAAGAGCUUACUGCAACAUUGAAUGAAAGACUAAAAAUGAGAGAACAGAAGUAACUCUCUAAAAAUUUCUUAUUUCUUCUCUUCAAUUGGAAUAUUAGAAGUACUAAGUUACCUGAUGCCAGGAACCCUGACUUUGAGAAUAUUUUUGAAUAUUAGGAAGCUUAACUUCCUCAACAUUUCAAAUAUGUCCUGUCCUUCUGAAUAGCUGCUGCCAAAUGCUGUUCUCGAAAUCACUUCCGAAGUGAACAAUCUAAACUCUUCAAACACCUCAAUCUCUUUUCCUUCAUAAACUUUCCACCUUUCUACCAUCUUCUCAGCACUAGCUACCAUUUCUGGAAUCAUGCUCUAGUAAAAAAAUAUCAUAAUGCUUUUAGUAUUAGCAUAUUUACCAUUCAACUUAUUCUUUUAUUAUUCAGAAAGUGACACAGCUAUGUCUAUAAUACUCUUUGCAACAAAGUACCAGCAACUUAAAAACUUACUUUUAAACUCUCUCCAUGGAAAGCAUGGGUGGCCAGCUUUCGCAAUUUUGCCCAUUUUUCAGCUUUGUUUGUUGCCGCAAGGCCAUCUCCAAAUAGCUUCUUCGAAAUGUUUGGGGCCUCUUUUUUCAGAUAAGCUCUGCCUUUGUUAUUUAGUAUCUCUUUGCACAACUCAGGUUCUGUUACGACCAACUGAGCUCGAGAACCAUGCCAUUGAAGAUAAUUCUUCCCUGUAAUUGCAUGCAAAAAUGACCAAAACUUAUCUUGUUUAGAACUUAGAUUUAAAUAACAAUAGUUAACUAAUUGAGAUGGCUUGUUAUUUUGCUACCAUAUAUGUUGGUCCACGAGUGAACGUGAGGUUGAACUACAGAAAAUAUGUCGUGUGAUAAAAUGUGAGGCCUGCCCAUGACUUCCUUUUGCAUGUUGGAGAUUUCUUUGGUAUUUCCAUAGAUGAAUCUGUAAGAAGGGCCUCUGAUCCCCUGCAAAGCCAUCAGCUUCUGCAUGCGAAUCGGAGUCCACCAUAGUUUGUGAAGGAUCUUGAUGAAACCUAAGACAAGGAGCAGACACAGAAAGCUUGAAAGAACGAUUAUUAGGCCUCCCAAAGUAGUCAUUUUGGGGGUAUUGUUUUUCUCUGCGGCUAUCUCUAUCUCGUUCUCUGAGCUUUUAAAGCUUUUCUUGCUUCUGAUUGUUUACAAAAAAGUCAAGAAAAAACCAGUCUGGUCAUGUUAAGCUUCUGAUUGUUACUUAGUUUGUCCUGGUAUUUACUACAAUCCAAAGGGCAAAUAUCAUCGUAAGUGGCUCUCAUUGAAACCUUAAGCUGCUAUUUGUAGACUUUUGGUACAUCGUGGUAAGUCUAGUGACUUCAUGUUGGAAUAAUCUCUUGGCUUCGUCACCAAUGACAUCACCAUAUGACUAAUCUUGCAAAACUUUCUCUUUAUCACCACACCGCGUUUUUCUUUCAUGACUUUUCUCAACUUAACAGAGCUCUAGUCUCUCUGUGCAUUGUAUGUUAAAAGACAACUAUUAUUAUGAGAGGUUGUUCACUAACUUUCAAAGCAAAAUUUUCUCAACCCUAUGAAAAUUUUGUCAACCCUAUGAAAAUUUUGCUUUGAAAAGUGGUGAACAACCUCUCAUAAUAAUAGUUGUCUUUUAACAUAUUAUUAAAAUGUGCAUUAAUGACUUUUCUGAAUUUUGUAAGACAAGAAAAUGCGGCUCGUUUAGGCAUCCCAUGAGACAUAACAUAAGUAUAACACAAAUAAGAUUACCCCCAAUAAAAAAUGUAACAAGUAAUUUUAUUCACAAGUCUGCAUAUACUUAAGUUGCCCUAUAUGCAAUGUUGUCCCAAAUAAAAAACGUAUAAUGAGGGGGUAUAUAUGUUGAGAACUUGAGAAUGUUUGUCUCACAUUGAAAAAUUGAUGGACUCUAUAAGGAGUUGGAAUACUCUUCUAUUGCCAAUUGGUUUUAGAGUGGAAACUCAACUUUCUUCAUGAUAUCAUAGCAAAAGCUUCACGUGUUGAGCUGAACGGCCACACAAGCAGAUAGAAUGAAAUUUAGAUUAACUUUUUCAUAUUAAUCUCAUUAAAUUUCCACAUAGAGAGAGAGAGAGAGAGAGAGAGAGAGAGAGAGAGAGAGAGAGAGAGAGAGAGAGAGCCUCCUUCCUUGCUCUGCCAAAUUUCCAUUGAUGAAAAGGAAAUAUUUUGCUCAUUGCCCAAGCAACAGAAAAUGGAGAAAUUGUAAUACUUGGAAUUAUAUGACAGAGCAAAGCUGGUUUUUUGGACCAAGAAAAAGGUCAUGGGUAGAGGCCCAUAAUAGUUGUUACCCACUAUUAAUUUGACAGGACCCGCCUCGAAAUUUCUUCAGAAAUCGAAGUGGACCCCGUCUUUGUUCCGACAUCAUCCCGAUGCCGGGGCCCACUUACUAAAAACCGAGACUCUCUACCAAAAUUUUGGCAGAGUCUCCCCUGUAAAUUAAACAAACCCAACAAAAAUUUCAACCUGCAACAUACAUAAAAUAAUCCCAACCAGCAGCAUGCUUUCAUAAUACAACAAAACACACUACAUGGCCUCCGGCCUCACAGGUAAAAUCUACCAUGGGUGAUAACAGAGCAUCUACUGAAUUUAGUUUACAAGAACAGUUGAGUAGAAGAAAUUACUCAAAUCCUAACUAGGAAAGUUCACAGUUCGAGCCUCGUACACCACUUGCACGCUUCUUGGAGCGACUACUGGCUGGGGGGCGCAAAACAGAAAACAUGUGAAUGGACAAAAAUAAGAUUUGGAGUUAAAACAACAUAGUAACCCCACCGUAGAAAAGUAAUGCUCAAGACAUGCAGAUUCACAAUUCAUAAUUUAAUUACUCAAAAUAUAUUUCAUUAAAACUCUUUAAAAGCACAAAUCACUUCAUCCAUAAACCACAUUCUUACAAUCUUGCUACUCCUGCCAAACCACUGAUAAACUCUAAUUUCUUCACUCUCCCAACUAUAGAUAUACAUAUAUAUAUACACAAUAUACUCAUUACACUACCUAGGUACCGGGGAAACAAUCCAACCGGGGGAUUGUUUAACUAGCCCGAAGGAUUUUCAGGUGCUAUCCUGCAUCUAGGGAUGAGUGGUCCAACUGGGGGACGAAACUUCAUAGCUCACACACCGGAACAUCCAAAGCCAUGUGUAGCUCCAAUACUAAUUCCUACGCGCACAGACUGGAUCAUCACACACCGGCACAUCCAACGCCAUGGGUGAUGAUCCCAAAAAAUAUACAGAGUCUUUCCAUAAGCCGGAACAUCCAACGCUGCAUAUGGAAAGUGUCUCACACGCCGGAACAUCAACGCUGCGCAUGUGACUGAUAAUCUAUUCUUCCCAUAAGCCGGAACAUGCAACGCUACGUGUGGGAAGUCUAAUAACUGGGGAAGGUACUUACAUAGUGUAAUCAUACAACAUCUUUCAACAACCCCUCAUAUUUAAGUUCUUCCACAACUCACCUUCACAACCCAAGUAUCUCGCCUAUAGAGAAUAUAAAUAUAACUUCCCCAAAAUCCAUAUAAAAUAUACUGUCGAUACCCAAAUAUGCCAAACCCACAAUAUAUUGCCAAAGCGCUAUACAAACAUCAAAUUCAACCCAUAAAUAUAAUAUAUUCAAUAAACCAUUAAAAACAUUAUGCAUAAAUCUUUCAUCAAUAAAACCAUACAUACGAUGGAAAACAAAGUCCACUCACAAAUAUUCCCACGAGAGGGUCUUGCCUGUUGAGUACGUGCAGUCGGAGUACCUAUUUCGAGAUACGAACCCUUAAUUAAUAAAAAAUUACUUCGAAGUGGAAAUCAUAAAUUACAUACUUAAAUCCCCAAAUUCCCAGUACGUGUACGUUGAAGGAGGUAUCCUAAGGUCCGAUUACAGGUUUAGGAAUCACUCACUAUUGUAUGGUUAUCGCUAACCCACAAACUUUGCAUUAUUGAAUCGGAACAUCCGGGGCUCCGAUUCAUGAUCCGUGAAGUCCUACACGGUCCUAGGAAUACCUAGAACAACAUAUUUUAAUUGGGAAAAGAUCUAAUGGUCAGAACCUAUCGAAUCUGGAUCCGCGAAAUUCUACUCACUUGUGACAACCUAAGGAUCUCAUCGGGUCAAAUUGCAACUUCAUCAGCCUCUUCCACAUGCCGCCACAUGUGCCUGCAGCUCGUGGGUGUGUUGUAAGAUCUCACAUCAACCAACGGAGAGGGGGUAAUGUGCCUUAUAUGUGCACACCCGCAUCCAUCUAGCACGAGGCCUUUUGGGAGCUCACUGGCUUCGGAGUCGUAGGAACUCCAAAGUUAAGCGAGUUGGGGGCCAGAGCAAUCCUAGGAUGGGUGACCCACUGGGAAGUUGCUCGUGAGCUCCCAGAAACAAAACCGUGAGGGCCAGAGAGGGGGGCCCAAAGCGGACAAUAUCGUGCUACGGCGGAACCAAUUCCGGGAUGUGACAAUUUGGUAUCAGAGCCACUCUGCCGUGUGGUGCGAGUGUGCCGACGAGGACGUCGGGCCCUUAAGGGGGGUGGAUUGUAAGAUCCCACAUCAACCAAUGGAGAGGGGGUAAUGUGCCUUAUAUGUGCACACUCGCAUCCAUCUAGCACGAGGCCUUUUGGGAGCUCACUGGCUUCGGAGUCGUAGGAACUCCAAAGUUAAGCGAGUUGGGGGCCAGAGCAAUCCCAAGAUGGGUGACCCACUGGGAAGUUGCUCAUGAGCUCCCAGAAAUAAAACCGUGAGGGCCAGAGAGGGGGGGCUCAAAGUGGACAAUAUCGUGCUACGGCGGAGCCGAUUUCGGGAUGUGACAUGUGUAGAGUAAAUUCUGGUGACGGAAAAACUCUCCACCCGAGCUCACCCUUCCUAUCCUAGCUUUUACUCAAGGUCAGGAUCACUUCAUUCAACUACGGGGAGGUCCAAUUCGGACGGCAACUGGCCGGUAUUUCACUCUGAAAUCUAGCCAAAACCUAGGUUUACAAAAUCAGUUUCUACACAUCAAAUCGAUCUAAACCUAUCCAAAAAACAACUAGAGCUCAUAAAAUGGAUGAGAAACCUCACCUUAUUCACCGGGUUUGGGCGGCGGAGACGAUGGCGCGACAAUGGGAAAUCUCCAGUUCAAAUCAGUCAAGAUCUUGUCGGGAUUCGUGGUUUCCGAUGGGAAAGCUGUCGGGUCUUGACCGGGACGUCGAGGCGAGUCGAUCAGGACCUGUGGCGCGCCCAGCCGUGGCCGGUGCUAGGAAAAUCGUAGAGAGAGAGUCGGUGUCGGGGAGAGAGAGAGACUGAGGAGAGGGAGACAGAACUGAUCACGCGAGGAGAGAGAGAGAGUUGAGGUGAAAAAUUUGAUUUUUACCAAACUUCUUGAAUUAAUUACAGUUUUGCCACUGAAUUACUUUUGAUCGCCUAAUCUUCGUUCCAACUCUGAUUCAAGUCUACCGCACGUCUACAAAUUCGUCUCAGUACUACCUAUCCAAAAAUACCAGUCGUGGUCCCAAAAUCCUUCCGGAAAAGAAAAUGACCAAUUUACCCCUACCCAAAGGGUAAAUUCGUAAUUUCACUUUAAAUAAAUUUAAAAAGAAAUUAAAUUUGGAGUCGGGGUGUUACAUAAUUAAUUAAAUGAGGAUAAUAUGGUAAAUUCAUACUUUUUCUUAUUAAAAAAAUUUUAAAUUAAAAGAAAAUUCUAAUAAUGGAUCAUAUUUUUAUAGAACACAACUACCCAUUAGAAUAUCUUUUUUAAUUCUAAAAUAAAUGUAAAUUUAAAAAAAAAAAAAAAAAGAACCUCGUGCAGGCGCGGAAGCGCGUGCGGAGAGGCUAGUAAAGAUAAUUAUAGAGGUCUAGUUAGUAUUCACCGUUGAAUUAAAUCUAAUGGGAGGUGACUACGCUCUUCCAUAGUCCUUGGUGACCAGGUGAACGGGGUAAUGGGAUUGGCUGUCAUAAUAAGGGUUUAAAUUCCCCCACUACCGUUUGAGUCCAAAAUUUAUAAAAAUUGGAAAUCUCAAGAUAUUCUUGGAGAUAUUAUGUGAUAAUUUUGAUAUGGCCAAAAUAUGACUAAUAUUAGCUUAUUUGAAAGGAAUUCUUGAAGAUUAUUUACUUGAGAUAUAAGAUAACAUAUUUUUGGGAAGAAAAUUGAUCUUCAUACAAUAUCGCAAUUCAUGUAGUAUUGCGGGCCUUGAAUAAAUGCACAAGAGAGGAAUUAAAGAGACAAUUGAUUCAAAUACAAGGGGAUUGCUGCAAGAUGAAGUACAUACCAUUUUAGUACAUACCAUGUGAUCUCAAUUAUAACCAAAUAUAUAACUUUUUCUUUAACCAAAUAUACAAACCCUAAACCUUGGUAUUUUGAAUGUUUCACAAUUCUCUGCCUUUUGCUUUAUAUAGAUAGAUUCAAAGAAAAAUUAGUAUAUAGUGAGAAAAAACUUUAGUAAUUAGCAUAUGAUACAUUACCUAUUUUUGUUUUGGAUAUGGUGGAUGAGUUUAAAUUUUAUUUUGUUAAAAGCCAAUGGCCCUACCCAUGUGCUGACAAGACCCGCCCCGGAAUUUCCCGAAGACCGAAGCGGACCCCGUCCUGAUCCCGACAUCAUCCCGAUGCCGGGCCCACCUACUAAAUAAUCGAGACUUUCUACCAAAAUUUUGGCAGAGUCUCCCCUGUAGUUUAAGCAAUCCCAACAACAUUUACUCAACCUGCAAUAUACACACAAAAUAAUAAUCCCAACUAGCAGCAUGCUUUCAUACAACUACAAGUCAUACUAGAGUGGCCUCCGGCCUCACAAGUAAAAUCUAUCAUGGCAAUACAGAGCAUCUACUGAAUUUAGAUUACAAGAACAGUUGAGUAGAAGAAUUUACACAGUUCCUAAUUAGAAAGAUGCACCGAUUCCGCUUCGUACACCACUUGCACUUCCAAGAGCAACUACUGGCUGGGGGGCGCAAAACAGAAAACAUGUGAGUGGACAAAAACUAGAUUUGCAGUUAAAAACAACAUAGUAACCCCACCAUGUAAAAAUAAUGUUCAAGUCAUGCAGGUUCACAAUUCAAUAAGAAAUUACUCAAAACAUGCUUCAGUAAAACUCAUCUAAAAACAUCAGUUAUCUCUUUCAAAAAGAACCUCAUUCUCUCAAACUUACCACUCCUGUCAAACUAUUAAACAAACUCUAAUUCCUUACACACUCAACCAUACAUAUUCAAAUAAAUAUACAUAUAAAUAUAUAUAUAAAUAACUAUAAAUAGCUAUACGAUAUACUCAUCACACCACCUAGGUACCGGGGAAAACAAUCCAACUGGGGGAUCGUUUGACUAGUCCGCAGGAUUUUCAGGUGCUAUCCUGUGUCUAGGGAUGAGCGGUCCAACCGGAGGACGAAACUCCAAAGCUCACACACCGGAACAUCCAAUGCCAUGUGUAGCUCUCAAACUAUGUCCUACGCGCGCAGACUGGAUCAUCACAUACCGGAACAUCCAACGCCAUGGUGAUGACCCUAAACUCUAUACACAGUCUUUCCGUAUGCCGGAACAUCCAACGCCGCAUACGGAAAGUGUCUCACCCGUCGGAACAUCCAACGCCGCGAGUGAGACCAGUAACUGAGGAAGGUACUUACGUAGUGUAAUCACACAACUUCUCUCUAAUCACAUUCUUCCAUAUCACCCUCCAACAACCCAAAUAUCUCAUCUAAAAAGAAUAUAUAUCAAAAUAUACUUCCCCACAACCCAUAUAUAAAAUACACUCUCAAAACCCAAAAUGCCAAUCUCACAAUAUAUUGCCAAUUGCUAUACGACCAUCAAAAUUAACUCAUGCAUAUAAUAUAUAAAAUCCAUGAGCCAUUAAAACAUUAUGCAAAAUCUUUCAUCAAUUAAAACCAGGCAUAUGAUUAAAACAAAGUCCACUCACAAGUAUUCCCUCGCUGCCUGACCACGUGAAGGUCCUGCUUGCUGCGUGCGUGCAGUCGAAAUACCUAUUUCGAGAUACGAACCGUUAAUUAAUAUAAAAACCACGUCUAAGCGGAAAUUACAAAUUAAAUGCUUAACUCCCCAAAUUCCCCAUACGUGCUCGUUGAAGAAGGUAUCCUAAAGUCCGAUUACAGGUUUAGGAAGCGUUCACAAUUUUCACGGUUAUCGCUAACCUGCAAACUUUGCAUUUUUAAAUCGGAACAUCCGGGGCUUCGAUUCAGAAUUCGUGAAGUCUCAUACGGUCCUAGGAAUACCUAGAACGAUAUAUUUUAAUUCGGGAAAGAUCUAACGGUCGGAACCUAUCGAACCCGGAUAACGCACAAUAUGCGAAAAUCCGUUCGAUAGCCAAACGACAUCCGAAUCGAGAUCCACGAAUUCCUAUGCGCUCGUGACAACCUAAGGAUCUCAUCGGGCUAAUUUACAUUCUCACCAGACUCGCCCACGCGCCGCCACACGCGCCGGUAGCGCGUGGGUGUGCAGAGUAAUUCCGGUGACGGAAAAACUCCACACCCGAGCUCACCCUUCCUACCCUAGCUUCUACUCGAGGUUAGGAUCACUUCACUCAACUACGAGAAGCUCCAAUUCGGCCGGCAACUGGCCGGAAUUUCAUUUUGAAAUUCGGCCAAAAACCUAAAUUUCCAUCAGUUUUCUAGACUCAAAAUCGAUCAAAACCUAUACAAUCAUCAGCUAGAACUCGAAAAAUGGAUGAGAAACCAUACCUCACCCGUCUGAAAUAGCGAUCGGAGGAGAGAGAACGGGCGACUGGGAGUUCAGACGAGAAUCGGCCUGAAAUCCGUGUUUUCCAGCGACGAGGCGGCGGCUGGCGGCUGGAGAUGGGUCAGGGAACGUCGGCGAGGUCUGGCCGGUUGUUUUGGGUCCGGUCUCGGGGCUGGCCGUGGCCUGUGGUAGCGGCCCUGCGUCUGCAAAUCGGAGGAGGAGGAAGAGGGACUCGGGAGAGAGAAAGAAUCGGGAGAGAGAGAGAGAGAGAGAGAGAGAGAUAAAACUGAAAAAUCUGAUUUUUACUCUAUCUCUUUUUGAAAUAUUUACAAGUUUGCCACUGACACUAUUUUGCCCGUAACUUUUUCGUUACAACCCCGAUUCAAGCCUACCGCGUGUCUACAAAUUCGUCUCAAUACCGUCUACCUAGAAAUACAACUCGUGGUCCCAAAAUCCUUCCGAAGAAGAAAGUGACCGAUUUACCCCUAUCUCAAGGGUAAAUUCGUAAUUUUAUUUAAAUCGAUUAAAAUAAACAUUUAAUUUGGAGUCGGGGUGUUACAAUCUACCCUCCUUAAAAAAAAUUUCGUCCCCGAAAUUCACGUACCUGUCACUGGAAAAGAUAAGGGUACUUGACCCUCAUUUGUGCCUCAUGGAACACAUCAUGCACUCGAGACAGUUCUGCAGGUAAUGCAAGUCUAUAAGCAACCGGUCCGAUGCGUUCUGUAAUCUCAUAGGGUCCAAUAUAACGAGGGCUUAACUUCCCACGUUUUCCGAAUCUCAUCACACCCUUCCAAGGAGAUUACUUCAGGAACACCCAAUCCCCAACUGCAAAUUCGAGAUCUUUGGACCUAUUAUCUGCAUAACUCUUCUGUCGGUCUUGUGCGAUCUUCAGAUUUUCUUUAAUCAUCUUCACUUUUUCGGUUGUUGCUCGGAUACUUUUCACUUUUUCUAAUUUCUUAUCUCCCACUUCAUUCCAACAAAUAGGAGUCCUACACUGUCUCCCGUACAACGCCUCAUAAGGAGCCAUCUUUAUACUCGCAUGAUAACUGUUAUUGUAUGCAAAUUCCACCAAGGCAAGGUGAGUAUCCCAUGAAUCUUUCAUUUGCAGUACGCACGACCUCAACAUAUCCUCCAAAGUCUGAAUAGUUCUUUCUGAUUGUCCAUCAGUCUGUGGGUGAAAAGCUGUGCUGAACCGCAACCUAGUACGCAUAGCUUCCUGCAAACACUUCCAGAAUCGAGAAGUGAAUCGGGUAUCUCUGUCCGAUACAAUGGACACAGGUGCUCCAUGUAACCUCACAAUCUCGUCCACAAAAAGUUUUGCCAACUUUGUCAGAGAAUAAGUUUCCUUAAUAGGUAGAAAAUGGGCGGACUUGGUGAGUCUAUCCACUAUCACCCAAAUUCCAUCAUGUCCCUUGGGAGUGCGUGGAAGCUUGAAAAUAAAAUCCAUGGUAAUGUGUUCCCACUUCCAUUCAGGAAUUGGAAGCGGUUGCAUAAGUCCGGAAGGUUUAUGUCGCUCCGCUUUCACUUGUUGACAAAUCAAGCAUCUACUCACAUACUUGGCAAUGUCUCCCUUCAUAUGCGGCCAUGAGUAAUACUCCCGUAGGGUUCGAUAUAUUUUGGUACUUCCUGGAUGCAUAGUGUAAGUGGAACAGUGAGCUUCCUCCAGGAUUUCUCUUUUCAGGUAAUCAUUCUUAGGUACACAUAGGCGAGUUCCUGUUACUAACGCCCCAUCUCCCCUUAUUGCAUAAUCUUUCCGCGAACCACUUUCUACUUCUCCCCUUAUUCGACAAAGUGUUGAGUCUCCCAACUGGGCUUCAAUUAUCUGCUCCACCAAAAUGGGUCUCACAUGCAAACUAGCAAGUAUUCCACCCUGUUGUGUCAUUUCCAGUCCCACACCAUCUUUCCGCAGUUCCACUAACAACGGAAGAUAUGCCGUUCUGAGAUGAGCCAAACUUCCCGUAGUCUUCCUACUCAGUGCAUCUGCUACCACAUUAGCUCGGCCUGGAUGAUACUCAAUCGUGCAGUCGUAAUCCUUUAUCAAUUCCAACCAACGCCGUUGUCUCAUAUUAAGCUCCUUUUGAGUGAAAAAGUACUUGAGGCUUUUAUGAUCAGUGAAAAUCUGACACGUCUCACCAUACAAAUAAUGCCUCCAAAUCUUGAGAGCGAACACUACAGCGGCAAGUUCCAGAUCAUGAACCGGAUAAUUCUGCUCAUGCUUCUUGAGUUGCCUCAAGGCAUAAGCAAUCACCCGAUCAUGUUGCAUCAGAACACAUCCCAAGCCUCGCAAAGAUGCAUCACUGUAGAUCACAAAAUUUCCUGCAUUAUCCGGAAGAGCCAAAACAGGUGCGGUGGUUAAUCGCUUCUUUAAUUCCUGAAAACUUUGUUCACAUUCUUCCGUCCACUCAAAUGCAACAUCUUUCCUUGUCAACCGUGUGAGAGGUGCUGCUAUCGAAAAAAACCCUUCCACAAAUCGACGAUAGUAGCCUGCCAAUCCCAGAAAACUCCGUAUUUCUGUCACACUGGUGGGUUGUACCCAAUUCACAAUAGCUUCAACUUUCUGUGGAUCCACAUAAAUCCCUUCAGUUGAAAUUACAUGCCCUAGAAAUACCACUCUGUCCAGCCAGAACUGACACUUACUAAAUUUAGCAUAAAACUGCUUCCUUCUCAAGGUUCUCAAUACCAACCUCAGAUGUUUCUUAUGCCCUUCCAGAGUCUGGGAGUACACCAAGAUAUCGUCUAUGAACACAAUCACAAAGUGAUCCAAGUAUGGUCGGAACACUCUGUUCAUGAGGUCCAUAAACGCUGCUGGAGCAUUUGUCAGCCCAAACGGCAUCACCAGAAAUUCAUAAUGUCCAUACCGUGUUCUGAACGCGGUCUUAGGAAUAUCCUCUUCCCUGAUCCUCAACUGGUGGUAUCCUGAUCUCAGAUCGAUCUUAGAAAAAUACUUAGCACCUUUCAACUGAUCAAACAAAUCAUCAAUCCGAGGCAACGGAUACCGGUUACGUACCGUCACCUUAUUCAGCUGCCGGUAAUCAAUACAUAACCUCAUGGUUCCAUCUUUCUUCCUCACAAACAACACAGGUGCACCCCACGGAGAGACACUGGGUCUGAUGAACCCAAGAUCCACUAACUCCUGUAAUUGAAUCUUCAACUCCCGAAGUUCAGCUGGUGCCAUCCUCUAGGGGGUUAGAUAAAUAGGGUUGGUGCCCGGAAGAAGUUCAAUAGUGAACUCGAUUUCCCUUUCAGGGGGUAAACCAGGGAGAUCAUCUGGAAAGACAUCAGGAAAAUCACAGACAACAGGAAUAUCUUCCAUAUUUAAGGUGAUCUCUCGAGUAUCAAUGAUAUGCGCCAAAUACCCUUCACAUCCCUUCUGGAGCAACUUCUUGGCUGUAAUAGCAGAAAUCAGACAAGUAGGGAGAACUCUACGCUCCCCACGGAAGGUAACUUUAGGUUGCCCUGGACUCCGAAACGUUACUUCCUUCCGGUAACAAUCCACUGAUGCAUGAUGUUUCUCCAGCCAAUCCAUCCCCAAAAUAAUAUCCAAAUCCACCAAAUCUAAAGGGAUUAAAUUUGCUUCCAGCCAUGCAUCAUCUACUUGGACAAAACAAUUUCUGAAUACCCGAUCUGCGUAUAAGACUUCUCCCGUAGGUAGGGAAAUACUAAAACUCCAUGUCAUAGGUGUGGGUCUAAUACUGACAUACGGUAUGAAAUUGUGUGCUACAAAGGAGUGUGUGGCCCCCGGGUCAAUUAAAACACGUGCAAGAUAACUAAAAAUCGGAAUCAUACCAGUAAUCACGUCCGGGGUAGCAUAUGCUUCCUGCUGAGACAUAGAGAACACAUGGGCCUGAGUAGUGGAGCGCCCAGGUUCACCCCUUGAUUGCCUACCACAUCUGCCUCUAGAAGAUGACGAUGCCCUACUACUGGAUGACCCUGCUGCAGAGGAAGAAACACCACCUUGAUUCUGAUUCUGACCCAAGAUACCUUGCCCCUGCUGGGCCCCAGUUCCCUGAUUUAUUGCCUCAUUCUGGAGUAUAAUUGGGCAGCUUCUCUUAGUAUGCCCCACUUGCCCACAAAAGUAGCAUGUUAAGCUACUACUCUGGCUCGGUCCACCUCCCUGAGUGUAACUGGGACAAUCCUUCGCAAUAUGCCCAACUUGCCCACAAUGAAAACAUGUCAACCCAGUGUACCUAGAAGGAGCCCUAGCUGUGCUAGCUGCAGACUGUGGUCCCGAAUACUGAGUCCAAGCCGAACGAGAACCAGAUCUCCCACUGCUAGAACUAGAUCCCCGUCCUCCUGACCAUCCUCCACUAGCCGAACUGGAACUAGAUCCUCCCCUCUUGGAUGGACCCUGACUGGGCCCACCAAUUCCUGAUGUAUCCCUACGGCGCCUACUCACAUUUCCACCAAGUUUUCUUGACACCCUUGCCGCUGCCUGAGCCAAAGCUCUCAUGUUUGGAUAAGUGUUAGCGGUAACCACUGCCUGGAUUUCCCACCAUAAACCUUCCUCAAAGCGUCUACAUCUGUCUUCCUCUGUAGCCACCAACUCUGGAGCAAAUCUGGACAACUCAUUAAAUUUGUGUUCAUAUUCCACUACUGACAUAGACCCCUGUUUCAAGUAGAGAAACUCUGACUUCUUUGCCUGUUUAUAAGAAGGUGGGUAAAAUGGAUCUGAAAAUACUCGCUGAAAUUCUUCCCAAUUUAUGGCAGCCGGAUUUUCAUAACCCCUUUUUACUGCUUUCCACCAAUGAUACGCAUUUCCCUUGAGUAGAAAGGUGGCCAAACGGACUCUAUCCUCAGCUGGGCAUUCCAGGACCUCAAAGAUUCUCUCCACAUCAGUAAUCCAUAAUUCUGCUUCUGCCGGAUCUGUACUACCCAGGAAUUCUUUAGCUCCAAGUUCCUUUACUCUCUUAAUUUCCGAACUUUCCGUACCCCGCCUUCCCCGUAAGGCUGUAGCCACUGUGCGAGUAAACUGGCUGAGCACCUGUCUCAUAUCCAAAGUAUUAUCUCCUGCAUGUGGAGAUGGUGAAGGUGAAGGUAGUGGUGGUGAAGGAGGGGGUGAUGGAGAUGGAGGUGGAGGAUUCAGGCCCCAUCUCUGCCCACGGCCUCUUGUUCUAGCUCUGCGAGCUGACAUGAUUCUACACAAAGAAAUCAUGAAAUCAUUAGAUCAACAAUGCAGCAAAAGUGCAAUAGUCGAAGGAAAAUGAACCUAAUGCUCUGAUACCAAGCUGACAAGACCCGCCCCGGAAUUUCCCGAAGACCGAAGCGGACCCCGUCUUGAUCCCGACAUCAUCCCGAUGCCGGGCCCACCUACUAAAUAAUCGAGACUUUCUACCAAAAUUUUGGCAGAGUCUCCCCUGUAAUUUAAGCAAUCCCAACAACAUUUACUCAACCUGCAACAUACACACAAAAUAAUAAUCCCAACCAGCAGCAUGCUUUCAUACAACUACAAGUCAUACUAGAGUGGCCUCCGGCCUCACAAGUAAAAUCUAUCAUGGCAAUACAGAGCAUCUACUGAAUUUAGAUUACAAGAACAGUUGAGUAGAAGAAUUUACACAGUUCCUAAUUAGAAAGAUGCACCGAUUCCGCUUCGUACACCACUUGCACUUCCAAGCGCAACUACUGGCUGGGGGGCGCAAAACAGAAAACAUGUGAGUGGACAAAAACCAGAUUUGCAGUUAAAAACAACAUAGUAACCCCACCAUGUAAAAAUAAUGUUCAAGUCAUGCAGGUUCACAAUUCAAUAAGAAAUUACUCAAAACAUGCUUCAGUAAAACUCAUCUAAAAACAUCAGUUAUCUCUUUCAAAAAGAACCCCAUUCUCUCAAACUUACCACUCCUGUCAAACUAUUAAACAAACUCUAAUUCCUUACACACUCAACCAUACAUAUUCAAAUAAAUAUACAUAUAAAUAUAUAUAUAUAAAUAACUAUAAAUAGCUAUACGAUAUACUCAUCACACCACCUAGGUACCGGGGAAAACAAUCCAACUGGGGGAUCGUUUGACUAGUCCGCAGGAUUUUCAGGUGCUAUCCUGCGUCUAGGGAUGAGCGGUCCAACCGGGGGACGAAACUCCAAAGCUCACACACCGGAACAUCUAACGCCAUGUGUAGCUCUCAAACUAUGUCCUACGCGCGCAGACUGGAUCAUCACACACCGAAACAUCCAACGCCAUGGUGAUGACCCUAAACUCUAUACACAGUCUUUCCGUACGCCGGAACAUCCAACGCCGCAUACGGAAAGUGUCUCACCCGUCGGAACAUCCAACGCCGCGAGUGAGACCAGUAACUGAGGAAGGUACUUACGUAGUGUAAUCACACAACUUCUCUCUAAUCACAUUCUUCCAUAUCACCCUCCAACAACCCAAAUAUCUCAUCUAAAAAGAAUAUAUAUCAAAAUAUACUUCCCCACAACCCAUAUAUAAAAUACACUCUCAAAACCCAAAAUGCCAAUCUCACAAUAUAUUGCCAAUUGCUAUACGACCAUCAAAAUUAACUCAUGCAUAUAAUAUAUAAAAUCCAUGAGCCAUUAAAACAUUAUGCAAAAUCUUUCAUCAAUUAAAACCAGGCAUAUGAUUAAAACAAAGUCCACUCACAAGUAUUCCCUCGCUGCCUGACCACGUGAAGGUCCUGCUUGCUGCGUGCGUGCAGUCGAAAUACCUAUUUCGAGAUACGAACCGUUAAUUAAUAUAAAAACCACGUCUAAGCGGAAAUUACAAAUUAAAUGCUUAACUCCCCAAAUUCCCCAUACGUGCUCGUUGAAGAAGGUAUCCUAAAGUCCGAUUACAGGUUUAGGAAGCGUUCGCAAUUUUCACGGUUAUCGCUAACCCGCAAACUUUGCAUUUUUGAAUCGGAACAUCCGGGGCUCCGAUUCAGAAUUCGUGAAGUCUCAUACGGUCCUAGGAAUACCUAGAACGACAUAUUUUAAUUCGGGAAAGAUCUAACGGUCGGAACCUAUCGAACCCGGAUAACGCACAAUAUGCGAAAAUUCGUUCGAUAGCCAAACGACAUCCGAAUCGAGAUCCGCGAAUUCCUAUGCGCUCGUGACAACCUAAGGAUCUCAUCGGGCUAAUUUACAUUCUCACCAGACUCGCCCACGCGCCGCCACACGCGCCGGCAGCGCGUGGGUGUGCAGAGUAAUUCCGGUGAUGGAAAAACUCCACAUCCGAGCUCACUCUUCCUACCCUAGCUUCUACUCGAGGUCAGGAUCACUUCACUCAACUACGAGAAGCUCCAAUUCGGCCGGCAACUGGCCGGAAUUUUAUUUUGAAAUUCGGCCAAAAAUCUAAAUUUCCAAUCAGUUUUCUAUACUCAAAAUCGAUCAAAACCUAUACAAUCAUCAGCGAGAACUCGAAAAAUGGAUGAGAAACCAUACCUCACCCGUCUGAAAUAGUGAUCGGAGGAGAGAGAACGGGCGACUGGAAGUUCAGACGAGAAUCGGCUUGAAAUUCGUGUUUUCCGGCGACGAGGCGGCGGCUGGCGGCUGGAGAUGGGUCGGGGAACGUCGGCGAGGUCUGGCCGGUUGUUUUGGGUCCGGUCUCGGGGCUGGCCGUGGCCUGUGGCGGCGGCCCUGCGUCUGCAAAUCGGAGGAGGAGGAAGAGGGACGCGGGAGAGAGAGAGAGAGAGAGAGAGAGAGAGAGAUAAAACUGAAAAAUCUGAUUUUUACUCUAUCCCUUUUUGAAAUAUUUACAAGUUUGCCACUGACACUAUUUUGCCCGUAACUUUUUCGUUACAACCCCGAUUCAAGCCUACCGCGUGUCUACAAAUUCGUCUCAAUACCAUUUACCUAGAAAUACCACUCGUGGUCCCAAAAUCCUUUCGAAGAAGAAAGUGACCGAUUUACCCCUAUCUCAAGGGUAAAUUCGUAAUUUUAUUUAAAUCGAUUAAAAUAAACAUUUAAUUUGGAGUCGGGGUGUUACAUGUGCUCUUUAAGCUUGAUUAAUUUGUAUUUGAAAUAACAUUUUUACCCUUUGUAUUUUAUAUGAGAGGCAGAUCAUGCCUCAGCUUUGGAUUCAUCCUAAACGGAGAGCAAGAGGUCGCAACCACCACCAACGACAACCAUGGCUAAGAAGGUCAUUGCAGAGUGCCAGAGAAAGGCCUUUUUCGGCUAAGAAGCAAUCGAUGACAGAGAAGGCAUUUUUUGGCAGCGAAGCAAUGAUGACGACCGUGGCUCGUCUUGGCGUCACGAUUGCCUGCGGUGAAGGCAUUCUUCGGUCCAUGGCGAAGCAAUCGGAGAAUCAAUGCCGAUGGAAUAGAUCUUCGUCUCCUGUGGUAAUUCAGAACCUAUGUUAAUUAUUGUGUUGUUUUUGAAUCUGAUGUGGUCUGAUUUUUAGGUUAUGCAAUUGAAUUACUUGAAAAUGGGCUUUUCUUGAGAUUUUUUUGUUUAAUUUCAGUGGUAUUGUUUUGAGAUUUGAACUGUGGCUGCUUUAUUGUGUUUUGAGUUCAUUUAUGAAUCUAUUAGAGUGGUAGCUAGGAUAGCAGAUUGAUCAUCCAAGGGCAAUGUCCACAUGUGUUUUAGCAUUUCCAAUUGCUAAAAAAUAUUUACUUCUGGUGCUUUAGAAACAUCCAACCUUUACCAUUAUAGUUGUUAUAUUUGAACAUAUAUUACCUGCUCCUGUAAUUUUUCUUGACUAUGCAUCUUUUCCGCAAAUUCAUCUGCUCCAAGCUCAGCUUCAUCACAGGCCAUCUCCUCCCCGUCAUUCCAUAGAUGAGUACUACUAACAGCAACAUACAAUACAAACAUCCGAACCUUUCUUGUUAUCCUUCCCCACCUUUUAAAGGUAAGAUUUGUUGUUUUAGCCCAAUAUCUAAGGCUAACACACAUGAGCACAAGGCUUACAAGUUACAAGACUCUAGAAUCCAAUGAACUCAAGCAUUCCUUAUGAUUGUUACUUCAAAAGGCAAUGAGAAAUAAACACUGAGCAGAAUUUUUAACUUCAAAAAUGGGCAUAAGAGGAUUUGGAGGCAGGGUAUCAUUGUGUCAGUUGUUAGUUUAUAUUGUUAUUUCAAAAAUGGGCAGAGAAGGAUUGAAAUUAUUGAGAUUAAUUUGCAUGCAUUUGAUGUCUAUCAUGUCUGUGUUUUUUGGGAAAUUAAGUUUUUGCGGUUUCAUUAUGGAGAAUGCAAUCAUUUUGUUGUGCCUUAUGUUCAGCAUUCCGAUAUAUAUUUAUAUUUGUGAUUAUUGGCUGAUUAUUGGGUGUAGUUCAAAGGAUUCUUCUGCAACUCAGGUAGGCACAGCACAAUGUCCUUCUUUGUACUUGUGGAGUUUGCUGUCUAAAUUAUUUAGUUUCCAGCAAUGCAUAUUUCAAUUUUGUUUUGUUUCUAGCUAUAUUUUCAAUUUCGUCCUGUAAACUUGAGAUCAUAGUGCGGUUCUUAGGAUAGAGAUGCUUGUUGUUUAUGACAUCAUUGUCGUAUGAUAUUUCACAAUACCAUUUAAACUUUAGUUCAGUAAAAUUUUAUACAUGUUCUGCAUUGUAGUUUUGCACAAACUACAUUGCAGUUUCGAGGAAACUGUAUUGCAGUUUCGGUAAUUACAAUUGGAUUUUUGCUCUUUCCUUGGCCUUCAACCUCAUCAAUUUGAAAAGUAGAGGCUACCCAGAUGAGGAAUUGGGUGGGCAAGAGAAGAGUAGAACUACCCAAGAGCAAGAGAACUCAAAAUUGGACUUUUGGAAACUGCAUUGCAGUUUUCAUUUAAUUACAAUUGGAUUUUUGCUCUUUCCUUGGCCUUCAACCUCACCAAUUUGAAGAGUAGAGGCUACCCAGAUGAGGAAUUAGGUGGGCAAGAGAAGAGUAGAACUACCUAAGAGUAAGGGAAUUCAAAAUUUGACUUUUGGAAACUAAUUACAAUUGUUUUUGUAGCUGUUUUCGUUUUUGUUUUUGUUUUUUUUUUUUUAACAUAAUUGAUAUCUACAUUGUAUUUUUGUUGCAAUUUCUGUUUUUAUUUGCAGUUUUUGUGUUAAUAAAGUGUUGAAAUGAUUUUUUUUUAAUUAAACCGUUGAUUGUUUGUAUAAAUAUUGUAUAACUGAAUAAAUAUUACAAAAUCAAGUUUGGUGUAGUGGUUUGUGAGUGAGCCUUCCUUCUUUGACGGUCAAGGUUCGAGUUCAUUCAAUGACACAAAAUCUUUUUUUUAAAGGUGAAUAAAGGGCAACGGAGUUGGUCCCCUGUAGACAGUGGCAGGCUGGCGACGGGAUGGUGGUGGCAGGUGGCAGGUGGCCGGCGUCGGGAGCCCGAUGGUGGUGGCUGGUGGCAGGAGUUUAGCGGUGGUGGCCAGCGGCAAGAGUCCGAUGGUGGUGGCCAACGGCCGGAGUCCAGCGGUGGUGGCCAGCUGCGGUAUUCCAACGGUGGUGGCCGGCGGUGUUAGCCGGUGGUGGCCGACGGCCGGAGUCCAGCGGUGGUGGCAGCUGCGGUAUUCCAACGGUGGUGGCCGGCGGUGUUAGCCGGCAGCGGGAUUCCGGCGAUGCAAGCCGACGGCAGGAUUCCGGCGUAAUGGUUAGCUAGAUAUAGACAUGUGGCAUGAUAUGCUUGCCUUAAAAAGAGUGGCAUUGUGUGUAAUUUUGAUAUUGUUUAGUGAUAUUUUUGUAAAAUUAGGUACUACAUUUUGGUCUUUGGCCUUAUGAUAAUUAGAUGAAAUUGUAUUCCUAUCUUCCAAAUUAGUAAAUAUACUGUGUUUUAAAACUAAAGCUCCCUAGCAAAUUAUGUGUUUGUGCAAAUAAUCUCGCGGGAGAAUAUUCGCUUCUAGAUCCUUCAACCUUCGAUAUUUCUUCUCUCUCUUCCUCGAUUCCUGUAAAAAAGAUUGGAGUAAAUAGACCACACCCGGGGGUGUUAGUCAAAGGCCCUCUGAUGCCUAAGUUAGUUCGAGUGUUUGUAGGAAAACAAUAGCUAAGCAAAGGGUACGGAGUUGUAUAUAAGGUGUAAACCGGGUGGUCGGAGCCGUGUGUGGUGGCCGAAGCCGUGUGGAGAAAAUAUGGAGAGUGGAGAGGAAGAGAGAGCUUCGGGUAUUUUUCUCGGGUAUUAGGAGUAGGUUUUCUGAAGUCCCUUGAAUGAUGAAUGAGGUCGUCUAUUUAUAGGAGCCUCGGGGCUAGGGUUUCGUAGGAAUCGAGUCGAACUUGAUAAUAUCUGAAUUAAUGAGAUUAUCUCUUUUUAAGGAGAUAAUAUCUGAAUUAAAUGAUAUUAUCUUUUCUUUAUUAGGAUAAUAUCUGUUUAAUGAUAUUAUCUCUUUAAAUAAAGAUAAUAUCAUAUUAAUUAAGAUAUUUAUUCCAAUUAAUUAAUUAGCUAGAUAAACUGGUUUAAUUAAUUAAUUUAAGAGAUAAUCUUCUUUUCCACGUGGCGUGCCCUGAUUGGAGACGAAAAUAUAUACUCCCACAUUAUGUCCACCAGUUUAUGUGAUUACCUGUCUUGGAUUGGUAAGAUGUAUUAAGUGACUUUUGUGAAUUUUAUAAAACAAGAAAAUGUGGCUCAUUUAGGCAUCAUCCCAUGGGACAUACAUAAGAUUACCCCCAAAAAAGACAAAUGUUACAAAGUAAUUUUAUUCACAAGUUUGCAUUUAAGUUGCCCUAUAUGCAAUGUUGUCCCCCCAAAAAAACAUAUAAUAUAAAAGGAGGUAUAUAUGUUGAGAAUUUGAGAGUGUUUGUGUCGCAUUGAGAAGUUGAUGGCUUUUAUAAGGAGUUGGAAUACUCUUUCGUAGCCAAUUGAUUUUAGAGUAAAACUUCAACUUUCUUCAUGAUAUCAUAGCCAGGAGCGGAGCUACAUGUAGGCCUGCCAUGGCCAGGGCCCCUCCAAACUCCAUGAAAACCCAAUUCUUUCUUAUGCAUCAACUACAAUAUUAGUUAAAAUAUAGCUCUAUAUAAUCUUGCAUUUAUGAUAGUGGCCCCCCAACAGAUUAGCUUCUAGCUCCGCCACUGAUCAUAGCAAAGACUUUUCGUAUUGAGCUGAACGGCUUGAAUUCAAUUUAAACUCUAACUUUUUCAUAUUAAUCUCAUUAAAUUUCAAUGUCUUGAAAAGGAAAAAAAAAAAAUUAUUUUAAACCUUCAGAAAGGACAAUCAAAUUCAUGCUUCCAUCCCAUGGAACAGUAAAAAUGCUUUGUCAAAGAGCCCGUACCUCUCAAUGUCUGAACGUGAGUAUAAUUAGGAAGGGUGCUGGGUAGCCCAGAGAGGGAGAGAGAGGGCCUCCUUUUUUCGACCAAGAAAAAUGUCAUAGGCAGAGGCCCAUAAUAGCCCACUAUUUUGGACUUUUAAAAUGACUUUUUAGCCCAGAGAGACAGAGCUGGUUUUUUCGACCAAGAAAAAUGUCAUUGGCAGAUGCCCAUAAUAGCUCACUAUGUUGGGUUUUUAAAAUGACCUUUUAGCUCUUGUUUGUUUACCUUUUUAUUAUUAUUAUUUUUUUUCGUAACUCUUGUUUGUUUACCUAGAAAGCUCUUUUGAGGUUCUCUGAAAUUUGGGCCUUCAUACGCUUAUUUUCCGAACCUAAAUAAAUGUUCUAUUUCGGCCUUGUCGUUCUCUUCUUUUCUUUAAUUUUGUUUUUAGGGGGUCAAAACACCUUGUUGAGGCAUACGAUAUUUGGCCAAACAAUAGAGCAUGUUCAACAGCCUCUUUAAUAAAUUUGAAAUGCUAAAAUAAGUGAGUCACAUCAUCAAAAGCCUCCUCAACAUUCUUGUCAAACUCAAUCAUCGAAGAUAUAACAUCUUUUUCUCUCUUAAGGACUUGUAAUUGACAUUGACUCUUCAAAACAUUUAUUUUUCUUUGGAAGAAUAAAACCUACUUUGAAAAUCUAAAAACAUUCAUUUUUUUAACUUUCAAACAAUAAAUAUAUAGACAUUUUUCACAUGUUUUCAUAUUUUCAUUAUUUUCCAUAAUAUUACAUUAAUUGAAUUAAAGAGUUUGUUGGGGCAUAAAAUAUUAAAGUAGCUAACAAAACUUCAAUUUGAAGAAUUUGGUUUGCUACUACAACACAUUGUAAUGGAAUUUUAGUUUGAAUUAGCAGAGCUUCGAUGACGUUCAAGCUUUCUUUAUUGUACAACUGUUGUUGGGAAAUGCAGCGACUUCAAUAACAUCCUUUUCUUAAUUAGCAUUCAGAAACCACAUUCCAAUUUAUAAUCUUCAUCCAAAGGAUUUUAGUAUUCAAAUCCCAAUCCUAUCCCGGUAUUUGGAAAACUCAAUUUCAAUGAACAAACAGUCAAUAUAAUUCUGGCAGUUCCAAUGCUUCGUCUAUUAAUUUCCACUUCUGCACUACAAUCUAAAUCUGUGCUGUGUGUAUAUAUAGCAAUGCACCCCUCCAACAAAGCCACAGAGAGAGAACCAACCUAGUAAUUUGCACUUCGGAUUAUCUUAUCUCACCAAGAAAAAAAGAAACCAGAAAAACACUUUGGAUUGCAAACAUGGGAGGAAGCAAAGGCUCUAAUAGUAAUAGCAAUAGCCAGGUUGGAAAUCAAAAUGCUGGCUGGGGUAACUCGUCCAAUGUAGCAGCAAGUGGUGGUGGCGGUGGAGGCAAUGCAGCAGGGAAUAUGAAAGCACCUGGAAGAGAUUAUGCAAUCUCCAGGGAGAGCUUCGAGAGCAACCCAGCUGCCUAUUUCAAGGAUUUGCGCAAAUAGAUAGGAAUGAAGUAACUACUUACUCACUACUACUACAUGAAUAAAGAGUAGCAGUCUACUAUAUUGCUGCUUUUAUCUAUCUUUAUGUAAUGUCCCUAUCUAUGUUAAUCAAAGUACCCUCAUCUUGGUUUUGGGAUUAAUUACCAAUUUCAUAUUAUGUUUAAGCUUUCUUUCUGCCAUUUUUUCAAAAUUCUUUUACCAUAAACUGAAAAUGUUUAUUACAACUGUAAGCAUAAGAUUUUAUUCUACCCAAAAAACAAAAACAAACAGGAAAACUUUGGGCUCAGCAAAAUACUGCAAAACUAAAGAGAACAAUCGCUUCGUAAACUUGAAAGGAUAAUUGACAAGUAAGCUCCUUGUCUGUCUUGUCUCAAAGUGCAACAUUCAUAGGCACAACAUGGGUUAUGUCCACUUUAUGCACCAAGUACAAGAAUCACGGGCAACUGAUCUGAUCUUCGCAGUUCAAAGUGGUUGUAGCCUUACCUGCACUCCAUGUUGUGGACGAACUGUAAGAAGAUGUAAGGGCGAGUGGACAUAACCCGGGGAAAGGGUGAAGGUGUAACGUUGUAGAAUCAUCGACAAAGCAAUCUUCACUUCUGUUAUCGCAAAGUUUAAGCCCACACAAGUUCGAGGUCCCAUUGAAAAGGGUAUGAAUGCGCCUACAUGAUUGUUGGUUGCUUUGGCAACCCCUUCCGAGAAUCUCUCUGGUUUGAAAAGUUGCACAUCUUCUCCCCAGAUUUGAGGAUCAUGGUGAAGUGCUACGAUUGAGACAUCCAAUU